GACGAACGCUGGCGGCGUGCCUAAUACAUGCAAGUCGAGCGAAUGACGAGAAGCUUGCUUCUCUGAUUUAGCGGCGGACGGGUGAGUAACACGUGGGCAACCUGCCCUGCAGAUCGGGAUAACUCAGGGAAACCUGGGCUAAUACCGGAUAAUCCUUCGAAUCACAUGUUUUGAAGUUGAAAGGCGCUUCGGCGUCACUGUAGGAUGGGCCCGCGGUGCAUUAGCUAGUUGGUGGGGUAACGGCCUACCAAGGCAACGAUGCAUAGCCGACCUGAGAGGGUGAUCGGCCACAUUGGGACUGAGACACGGCCAAAACUCCUACGGGAGGCAGCAGUAGGGAAUCUUCCACAAUGGACGAAAGUCUGAUGGAGCAACGCCGCGUGAGUGAUGAAGGUUUUCGGAUCGUAAAACUCUGUUGUAAGGGAAGAACAAGUACGUUAGGAAAUGAACGUACCUUGACGGUACCUUAUUAGAAAGCCACGGCUAACUACGUGCCAGCAGCCGCCGUAA
rnacentral:rRNA from 1 species